GUAAGGACGUCCGCCCAUCACCAGCUUCGAGGAAUCUCCUCAGCCCUCUGCAGCUUCUGGAGAACAAGACAGCGCCUGAGGGUCGUCAGGGGCCAAGGCACUCACAAGGGGAAGGAGGAAAGGAGGAAGGAAAGAAGCAAGGGAAAGACGUGCCUGAACUGAGCUGGCGCAGAAAGAGCUGCAGAUGACGCCUCAGGGAGUUUCCGGGGACCAUGCGUAGACCCAAGCUUGCUUGUCUUCUUCGGGCUGCCAUGAAGGUCACGUAGCAGUCUGUCUGCGCAGCAUGAUGGGGUCAACAUCCAAACUCUAGUUCUCAUCUCUCAUUUCCUGAAGACCAGCCAGCAUCCUACUUGCACUGAGGACUUCUGUUGGUACUAAUUGGCUAGAGGGAGAUUCCCGGAUUGAUCCAGAACAUCCUUUCCAUGCUAAGGCAGAAGGACUUGGAGUAAGAAGCUGCAUUGAGGCAUGGACGAGUAGAAGAUAGGAAUGAACGAUGAAGAUCAGCCACUGGGACUGACUCGGUUGCAAAGGAUGUGAGCAAACAGUCCUGCUAGGGUUAAGCUGCCGGAGGCCACACUAGCUAUGGCGGAGACCAUAUCUCUCGAUUCACCUGUAUUUACCAGUACCUGGUGCAACAAAGUGCCAUUACAUACCUGAUUGAAUAAAUGAAUGACUGAACGAAGAUGGUAAUGGAGUUCCUAGGACAGUGUCUGACAUAUUCAGAAAGGAAACAAAUACAUGUGACCAGCUCUUUCAUCUUAGCUAUGGAACCUCUCACUCCAACUGGAGUCGAUUUUGACAACUGCUGGCCAACAGCAACACUCCGUGUCAACGGUGUUCUCUUUUUUGUUGGUAAAUGUGUUCAAGAUUCCAGGGCCAUCCUCACUCCUCCUGGUUCUGAAAAAUUGCAUGACACACUCAGUAUGUGUGAGAUCCUAAUCCCAAGAACUCCUGUGAUUUGGGGAGCGAAACUGGGACAAGUAGGAUUUGUGAGAG
ensembl:lncRNA